rnacentral:rRNA from 1 species
UACAGAGGUCUCAAGCGUUGUUCGGAUUCAUUGGGCGUAAAGGGCGUGUAGGCGGUUAGUUAAGUCUGGCGUGAAAGCUCUCGGCUAAACCGGGAGAGGUCGUUGGAUACUGGCUGACUAGAGGACGGUAGAGGCGUGUGGAAUUCCGGGUGUAGUGGUGAAAUGCGUAGAGAUCCGGAGGAACACCAGUGGCGAAGGCGACACGCUGGGCCGUACCUGACGCUAAAGCGCGACAGCAUGGGGAGCAAACGGG